UCCAGUGUCCUUAACUGCUAUCGACACACUGCAAGUUCUGGAUCUUUCAAAUAAUCAUCUAACAGGAGAUGUUCCAGUUAAUGGUUCCUUUUCGCUAUUCACUCAUACCAGUUUUUAUAAUAAUCGACUCAAUAAUCCUCCACAUGCUCCACCG